AUGCCCUUCCCCCGCAGCGGGCCAGGCCCCCGGCGCUCCCGGGAGCCGAGGCGGCUGUGGCCCUGGAGCGCCCAGGCCGGGGACUCCAGGGCAGAGGGGCAGCCUCACUCCACAGGUACAGCACAAGUCUUUCCCCUCCCCUCGGGGUGCACGGCAGUCCAGGGCAGGCCCAGGCCACCGCCUCUGGGCCUGGGGAGGGAGGUGUGGGGGCAGCACUGCCGUGGAGGCCAGAGAGGAGCAGCUGCUGCCGCCUGCUACGGAGCUGUGCUGGGGAGAGCCCUCUCGGGAACUCCGCCUCUCUGCGCUGGGAGGAAGUGCCCACCUCGCUGGUGGGUGACGGGCUCGCUGGGGGUGAGAUUUUCCUGUCUCCUCUGGGGUUUGUCUUCCUUCCCGUCCCUCCCAUUCCGUCUCCAGGUCUCUGUUGCAGCCACUCACCGCCUUGUUUUGGGCUUCCUCUUUGGUCUCGCUGUGCACCGGACUCGCAAGCCCGUGCCGGCCCCAGCGCUCCCCGUCCAUCGUGUGCUGGCGGCGCCGUCCCCGCAAGCCCAGGCUGCUUGGUGGAGGAGACGCUGCCGCUGGCCCGCGAGUCUUGGUGCUGGGACUGUCAGUGAUACGCACGUCCGGGCCAGCGGUCGGUGCUGGAGGUGUGUGGUCAGGCAGCUGGCUUGCCCUGCCUGGUCCCAUCAGGCUGUGCCCAUACGUGUGCCUCUUUCAGAGCCCCUGGGCCUGGCAGCUCCGGCUGCGUGCUCUCAUUCCCUGGCACGUGAUCGCUGGAAGCCGGUGUUGGGAAGGAAGCCUGCUCCACUGGGCGCGUGCGUGACCCUCCUCCCCGGGGACCGUUCUCUGCAGGGGCUGGGGCUGGGGUGUUUUGGGAGGCAGGCUCAUGCUCUGGUUUGCGAAUGUCCCUCUGCCGACUAUUUCAGUUCCACUCUGACAACCAAGGAGGCUAAAAUUAGUUCUGGGGAAGGAAGAGGGAGGCUGGUUGGAAACCCAAGCCCUUGGCUGGAGGAUGGAGGAGGCUGCUCACCUCCCCGGGUUUAUGGCCGAGGCUCGGAGGAUGUGACCAGAGCAGCUGUUGUCUGUCCAUCUGAGGAGAGGGAGGGGCCCUGCUGGCCUCCCAGACCGGAGCCGGUGGAAACCGGAGGCCAACUUGGAAGCUGA
rnacentral:lncRNA from 1 species